rnacentral:rRNA from 1 species
CCUACGGGUGGCAGCAGUGAGGAAUAUUGGUCAAUGGGCGCGAGCCUGAACCAGCCAAGUAGCGUGAAGGAUGACUGCCCUAUGGGUUGUAAACUUCUUUUAUAAGGGAAUAAAAUGUGCCACGUGUGGCCUUUUGUAUGUACCCUAUGAAUAAGCAUCGGCUAACUCCGUGCCAGCAGCCGCGGUAAUACGGAGGAUCCGAGCGUUAUCCGGAUUUAUUGGGUUUAAAGGGAGCGUAGAUGGGUUGUUAAGUCAGUUGUGAAAGUUUGCGGCUCAACCGUAAAAUUGCAAUUGAAACUGGCAGCCUUGAGUACAGUAGAGGUAGGCGGAAUUCGUGGUGUAGCGGUGAAAUGCUUAGAUAUCACGAAGAACUCCGAUUGCGAAGGCAGCUUACUGGACUGCAACUGACAUUGAGGCUCGAAAGUGUGGGUAUCAAACAGGAUUAGAUACCCGAGUAGUC